rnacentral:tRNA from 1 species
AUGACGUUAGCUCAGUCAGGUAGAGCGGUGGCUCGCGCCAUCGGAGGCCGGUUCGAAUCCGGCACGUCGUC